rnacentral:rRNA from 1 species
GAUGAACGCUGGCGGCGUGCCUAAUACAUGCAAGUCGAACGAGGUGCUCAAGUAGCAAUACGAGAGUAUCCUAGUGGCGAACGGGUGAGUAACGCGUUGGUGACCUGCCCCAAAGUGUGGGAUACCAGUUCGAAAGGACUGCUAAUACCUCAUGUGGUCUUCGGAUCCAGAAACCGAUGACUAAAGGAGUAAUCCGCUUUGGGAGGGACCUGCGUCCCAUCAGCUAGUUGGUAGGGUAACGGCCUACCAAGGCUACGACGGGUAGGGGACCUGAGAGGGUGACCCCCCACAAUGGAACUGAAACCCGGUCCAUACACCUACGGGUGGCAGCAGUAGGGAAUAUUGCACAAUGGGCGAAAGCCUGAUGCAGCAACGCCGCGUGUGCGAGGAAGGCCUUCGGGUCGUAAAGCACUUUUCUGAGAGAUGAGAAAGGACAGUAUCUCAGGAAUAAGUCUCGGCUAACUACGUGCCAGCCGCCGCAGUAAUAC